rnacentral:rRNA from 1 species
CUAGAUCUGAGUAUAUCAAUAUUACCUUGUUCAGAACUUAAAGAGAAAUCUUGAGUUUAUGGACUUCAGGGGGAGUAUGGUCACAAGGCUGAAACUUAAAGGAAUUGACGGAAGGGCACACCAGGAGUGGAGCCUGCGGCUUAAUUUGACUCAACACGGGAAAACUUACCAAGACCGAACAGUAGAAGGAAUGACAGAUUAAGAGUUCUUUCAUGAUUUAUUGGGUAGUGGUGCAUGGCCGUUCUUAGUUGGUGGAGUGAUUUGUCAGGUUAAUUCCGGUAACGAACGAGACUGAAACCUAUUAAUUAGUUUUUCUGCCUAUAAGACAGAAAUGUUCGCAAGAACAGGUGCGUAAGUACCACUUCUUAAAGGGACACAUUUCAAUUGUCCUAUUUUAAUUGUAGUUAUCUAAUUUC